rnacentral:rRNA from 1 species
GACGAACGCUGGCGGCGUGCUUAACACAUGCAAGUCGAACGGAAAGGCCCCCAUCUUGGUGGGGGUGCUCGAGUGGCGAACGGGUGAGUAACACGUGGGUGAUCUGCCCUGUACUUCGGGAUAAGCUUGGGAAACUGGGUCUAAUACCGGAUAGGACCAUGGUUUAGUGUCUCAUGGUGGAAAGAUUAUUGUUUUGGUGCAGGAUGAGCUCGCGGCCUAUCAGCUUGUUGGUGGGGUAAUGGCCUACCAAGGCGUCGACGGGUAGCCGGCCUGAGAGGGUGGACGGCCACAGUGGGACUGAGAUACGGCCCAGACUCCUACGGGAGGCAGCAGUGGGGAAUAUUGCACAAUGGGCGCAAGCCUGAUGCAGCGACGCCGCGUGGGGGAUGACGGCCUUCGGGUUGUAAACUCCUUUCGUUAGGGACGAAGCCACGCUUGUUGGGUGUGGUGACGGUACCUUUGUUAAGAAGCACCGGCUAACUACGUG